UACUGCUCCGCCGACAGGUCAGGCCCCA
rnacentral:sRNA from 1 species